rnacentral:rRNA from 1 species
CAAUAGCGUAUAUUAUUGAUGUUGCAGUUAAAACGUUCGUAGUCGAACUUAAUCUGCUACGAUAUCAUGGCAUUGAUGAUGACAUGGUAUUUUCGGCAGAGAUAGUACAAGUGUAAUCAUGUGUUUCACAUGUUUUACCUUGUAUUUUACUUUGAGUGAAUCGGCGUGUUCCACGCAGGCAUGUGCCUUAAACGAUUUACCAUAGUAUAAUUAGAGUAUGAAAUUGCUUCUUUGUUUGUUCAGAAGCUUUUUCGAUACUUACGGGAACGGUUGAGGGCAUUCGUAUUCGACUGCUAGAGGUGAAAUUCUUUGAUUAGUCGAGGACGAACUAUUGCGAAAGCAUCUGCCAAGGACGUUUCCUUUGA